UACUCAAAAAGAAAAACCUGGAGCUCGCAACAACUACGCGCAAACUGGAACAAAAAGUGCAGGAACUCAAAAAAGAUAUGUGCGAGAGAACAAGGCCAGAGGUCACUGGGUCUCAGACGGCGACUCUGCUCCAUCUACCACUCCGAGCUCGACACCGCUCAGCGGCCGUCGCACCUCCGCGAAAAUCCCUCCCGCCGUUAGCCGCGGCUGCUGUCAGACCAGGAAAGCCAGCAGUCCGGCGCACACGAGCUACGAGUCAACCAGCCGAGCCGUUGGGGAAGGACGAAUCGCCUCCGCAGCUAACCAGCGCUGGAGAGAAGCUAACAAAUGAGGAGAAAAGGGAACUAUCUGCUACACAACUGAUGUGCGCACAAACCAGCGCACAAUCCCAUCAGCCUGACGCUGCUGUCGCGGAGAGCCGGUCUCUGCUGUCACUGAGCGACUGUGAGCCACGGGAAGGGCGACGGUCGGGGUCUCCGGAGGUGUCAGCAAGUCGACUGAGCCCUACUGACACCGACCGACAGGAGAAAGGAUGCCGCUCAGAACCUGGAAAGGUUGAGAAGACAUCUCACGACGCGAGGUCCCGACGU